GUCCCUUCCUCCCCCCUUGGCUGGCGCCAGUACUUAACGUCAACUUGCUAAUCGUGUAUUGGGUCGAAACUCCUCCCGUUUCUGCUUGAGCGGUCCUUGUCGAACCGAAACUAUACUAAUAAAUAGACUUUCUGGAUUGCUCGCUAGGUCUCCCAUCUCUUAGCAGGAAAGGAUCAGCCCCAGUGUCGUUUUAGUUCACCGGCGGGCGGCUUUGAGCAUCAUCAGAAGUGGGCACGGGAGAAACAGUUUGGUUCCUAUCUACCGUUGGUGUGAACGCUGCAAACAAAGAUCUAAAGCAAGACAAGACACAGUCGUCAAUUCUAGAGACCAUCGGUGCAUACCCUCCAAAAGUGUAUCCCUUCCCUAUCGUUCGUAACUGUAAUUCGUUGACUGCGGAAAAACCCACCUAGCAUAGUCAAUAAUCUUUCUGGAUACCCAUCCAGUCCGCGACAUUAGUUACCUUGUUGUAAUCCAUCGUUGUGAUAACAACCCAGCCCCCUAACCA
rnacentral:misc_RNA from 1 species